rnacentral:rRNA from 1 species
AGCGAACGCUGGCGGCAGGCUUAACACAUGCAAGUCGAGCGGGCCCUUCGGGGUCAGCGGCGGACGGGUGAGUAACGCGUGGGAACGUGCCCUCUGGUCUGGAAUAACCCUGGGAAACUAGGGCUAAUACCGGAUACGCCCUUUUGGGGAAAGGCUUGCUGCCGGAGGAUCGGCCCGCGUCUGAUUAGCUAGUUGGUGGGGUAACGGCCUACCAAGGCGACGAUCAGUAGCUGGUCUGAGAGGAUGAUCAGCCACACUGGGACUGAGACACGGCCCAGACUCCUACGGGGGGCAGCAGUGGGGAAUAUUGGACAAUGGGCGCAAGCCUGAUCCAGCCAUGCCGCGUGCGUGAUGAAGGCCUUAGGGUUGUAAAGCUCUUUUAUCCGGGACGAUAAUGACGGUACCGGAGGAAUAAGCCCCGGCUAACUUCGUGCCAGCCGCCGCGGUAA